GGUCAAGCUACAAAGGGCGCAUGGUGAAUGCCUUGGCAUCAGGAGCCGAUGAAGGACGUGAUAAGCUGCGAUAAGCUUCGGGUAGGCGCACAUAGCCUGAGAUCCGAAGAUCUCCGAAUGAGGAAACUCACAUGGGAAACCCCAUGUAUCAUUAAGUGAAUACAUAGCUUAAUGAAGGUAACCCAGGGAACUGAAACAUCUAAGUACCUGGAGGAAGAGAAAGAAAAAUCGAUUUUCUUAGUAGCGGCGAGCGAAAGGGAAAGAGCCCAAACCGGAAACUUGUUUCCGGGGUUGUGGACAUGACAUAAAAGUGGAGGCUAUUGUAACUGAAGAGAACUGGAAAGUUCCACCGUAGAAGGUAAUAGUCCUGUAAGUGAAACGAGAAGACCACGAGUUAUGAUCCAGAGUACCACGAGACACGUGAAACCUUGUGGGAAGCAGGGAGGACCACCUCCCAAGGCUAAAUACUACCUGAUGACCGAUAGUGAAGCAGUACCGUGAGGGAAAGGUGAAAAGAACCCCGGGAGGGGAGUGAAAUAGAACCUGAAACCGUGUGCCUACAACCGCUCAGAGCCCCUUAUGAGGGUGAUGAGGUGCUUUUUGUAGAACGAGCCAACGAGUUACGGUAUGUAGCAAGGUUAAGUACUUAAGGUACGGAGCCGAAGGGAAACCGAGUCUGAAUAGGGCGACUAGUUGCAUGCCGUAGACCCGAAACCGGGUGACCUAUCCAUGGCCAGGUUGAAGCGAGGGUAAAACCUCGUGGAGGACCGAACACGUUGCUGUUGAAAAAGCAUGGGAUGAGCUGUGGAUAGCGGAGAAAUUCCAAUCGAACCCGGAGAUAGCUGGUUCUCUCCGAAAUAGCUUUAGGGCUAGCGUCGAGUAUGAGUAGUGGAGGUAGAGCACUGAAUGGGCUAGGGGGCAUAGCGCUUACCGAACCUUAUCAAACUCCGAAUGCCACAUACUUUGAGCUCGGCAGUCAGACUACGAAUGAUAAGAUCCGUGGUCAAAAGGGAAACAGCCCAGAUCGUCAGCUAAGGUCCCAAAGUGUAAGUUAAGUGGGAAAGGAUGUGAGAUUUCUAAGACAACUAGGAUGUUGGCUUAGAAGCAGCCAUUCAUUAAAAGAGUGCGUAAUAGCUCACUAGUCGAGAGAUCUUGCGCCGAAAAUGUAACGGGGCUAAACUUACCACCGAAGCUACGGGCUUGAACUUAGUUCAAGCGGUAGGAGAGCGUCGUAACCGGGCUGAAGUCGUACCGUAAGGAGCGGUGGACUGGUUACGAGUGAGAAUGUUGGCAUCAGUAGCGAGAUGUGGGUGAGAAUCCCACAGGCCGAAAACCUAAGGUUUCCUCAGGAAGGUUCGUCCGCUGAGGGUUAGUCGGGACCUAAGCCGAGGCCGAAAGGCGUAGGUGAUGGACAACUGGUUGAUAUUCCAGUACCACUACCAUCGUUAUUAUCGAUGGCGUGACGCAGGAGGAUAGUGUGUGCUAGCUAUUGGAUGCUAGUCUAAGCGUUUAGGCAGUGAGAGUAGGCAAAUCCGCUCUCAUAAUGCUGAGGCGUGAUGGGGAAGGUUCUACGGAACCGAAGUACAUGAUUCCACGCUGCCAAGAAAAGCGUCUAGAGAGAGAAGUAGUGCCCGUACCGCAAACCGACACAGGUAGGUGAGGAGAGAAUCCUAAGGCCGGCGGAAGAAUUACAGUUAAGGAACUCGGCAAAUUGACCCCGUAAGUUCGCGAGAAGGGGUGCCUACGAGAGUAGGCCGCAGAGAAUAGGCCCAAGCAACUGUUUAGCAAAAACACAGGUCUCUGCUAAAGCGUAAGCUGAUGUAUAGGGGCUGACGCCUGCCCGGUGCUGGAAGGUUAAGGGGAACACUUAGCGCAAGCGAAGGUGUGAACUUAAGCCCCAGUAAACGGCGGCCGUAACUAUAACGGUCCUAAGGUAGCGAAAUUCCUUGUCAGGUAAGUUCUGACCCGCACGAAUGGCGUAAUGACUUGGGCACUGUCUCAACUGUAAAUCCGGCGAAGUUGUAGUGCGAGUGAAGAUGCUCGCUACCCGCGAUUGGACGGAAAGACCCCGUAGAGCUUUACUGUAGCUUAGCAUUGAGUUUUGGUAUUGUCUGUACAGGAUAGGUGGGAGACUAGGAAACCAGGGCGUCAGCCUUGGUGGAGUCAACCUUGGGAUACCACCCUGACAGUACUGAAAUUCUAACUGGCGGCCAUGAAUCUGGUCACAGGACAUUGUUAGGUGGGCAGUUUCCUGGGGCGGUCGCCUCCUAAAAAGUAACGGAGGCGCCCAAAGGUUCCCUCAGAACGGUCGGAAAUCGUUCGAAGAGUGCAAAGGCAGAAGGGAGCCUGACUGCGACACCCACAAGUGGAGCAGGGACGAAAGUCGGGCUUAGUGAUCCGGUGGUACCUCGUGGGAGGGCCAUCGCUCAACGGAUAAAAGCUACCUCGGGGAUAACAGGCUGAUCUCCCCCAAGAGUCCACAUCGACGGGGAGGUUUGGCACCUCGAUGUCGGCUCGUCGCAUCCUGGGGCUGAAGUAGGUCCCAAGGGUUGGGCUGUUCGCCCAUUAAAGCGGCACGCGAGCUGGGUUCAGAACGUCGUGAGACAGUUCGGUCCCUAUCCGUCGCGGGCGUAGGAAAUUUGAGAGGAGCUGUCCUUAGUACGAGAGGACCGGGAUGGACUGACCUCUGGUGUACCAGUUGUUCCGCCAGGAGCACAGCUGGGUAGCUAAGUCGGGAAUGGAUAAACGCUGAAAGCAUCUAAGCGUGAAGCCACCUCAGAUGAGAUUUCCCAUAGCGUAAGCUAGUAAGAUCCCUUGAAGAACACAAGGUUGAUAGGUCGGGGGUGUAAGCAUGGUAACAUGUUCAGCUGACCGAUACUAAUAGAUCGAGGGCUUGACCAA
rnacentral:rRNA from 1 species